CCGCCACCUUGGCUAUUUCUGGGACCAAAGGAAUCCUUGAAGCUGACCGGGCAGGAGAGUCCACGCUGGGAGUAAAAUCACUACAAACUGUCCAUCAGAAGGCCCCUGCUGAGUAGUUGGCAGGGUGGCUGCACAUAAUGGAAAGCACAUAAGCUUGAAGCCAGACAGAUGGGAGUUCUAACCCCAGCCCUGCCACUUAUUCCCAGGUGACACUGAGUGGAAAUUAGGCCAAAAUAAAUACUACUUUCUGCUUAAAAAAAUGCAGUGAUGUCCAAAGAGAAGGGAGGAGGAAGGAUGAAAGGAAAGACAGAGGAGGAAGGAAGAGAAGAAAGAAGAGUGGCCGGCACAAGGGCUUGGAGAUCCCUGAAGCUGUUUUCCUUUCUCCUCACCCCCACAGGGAGGGAUCCACAUCGUUGUGGGGUUUUUGUUGUUGUUGUUUUUGUUUUUGUUUUUUUGCCUCCCUUCAUCAAAGCAUUCAUUGUAGUGUAUGGUAAUUGUCUCUGAAUGUAACAGCCUCUCUUCCCUGAGGCCUGGGUCUGCUUGUUUCAUACCAUCUUCUCCUUAACACACAGUGCUUGGUAAACAAUACCUAUUAAUAAACAUUUGUUGAAUGAAUGAAUGAGUGAAUGAACGAAUACUGCACUCUUUCGACUUGGUUAGAGACAUGUCUUGUAGGCUGGCAUGUACUUCACACAGCACUCUUAGGUAGAGUUUGUAUAUGUUAUUCCAUUGAAGGGAAAAGGAAGCCAGACUGUGGGGAGAAAAAAAAAAAAAAAA
rnacentral:lncRNA from 1 species